UACGUAGGGUGCAGGCGUUAAUCGGAAUUACUGGGCGUAAAGCGUGCGCAGGCGGUCUUUUAAGUCAGAUGUGAAAUCCCCGGGCUUAACCUGGGACUGCGUUUGAAACUGGAAGGCUAGAGUGUGGCAGAGGGGGGUGGAAUUCCACGUGUAGCAGUGAAAUGCGUAGAGAUGUGGAGGAACACCGAUGGCGAAGGCAGCCCCCUGGGCUAACACUGGACGCCUCAUGCACGAAAGCGUGGGGAGCAACAGG
rnacentral:rRNA from 1 species